rnacentral:rRNA from 1 species
UACGUAGGGUCCGAGCGUUGUCCGGAAUUACUGGGCGUAAAGAGCUCGUAGGUGGUUUGUCGCGUUGUUCGUGAAAACUCACAGCUCAACUGUGGGCGUGCGGGCGAUACGGGCAGACUGGAGUACUGCAGGGGAGACUGGAAUUCCUGGUGUAGCGGUGAAAUGCGCAGGAUAUCAGGAGGAACACCGGUGGCGAAGGCGGUUCUCUGGGCAUUACCUGA